UAAGGGUUUUUUUUUUUUUUUUUUAUUACAGUAUAUUUUUUGAUGUAGACCAUUUUAAAACUCUUUAUUGAAUUUAUUUCAAUGUUGUUUCUGUUUUAUGUUUUGGUUUUUUGGCUGUGAGGCAUGUGGGAUCUUAAGUCCCUGACCAGGAAUUGAACCCGCACCCCCUGCAUUUGAAGGCAAAGCUUUAACCACUGGGCUGCCAGCAAGUCCCAAAGUUAAGAUUUUUUAAACUUCUUUCUUUAAAGCAAUUGAACUCUUUUUCUAAUAGAAGCUUCAGUAGAAGCUCAGUACUGCGGAUAAGAGCAGCUGUUACUCAAGCAUGGCGUGAAGACAUGUGGCUCACUGCUUUCCCUUCUCCAGCCCCUAAACCUUUCGCUCUGAACCUAGAUGGAGGCUCUGUGGAGUUAAGUUUGCUUAGAACAGAAAAGCCUGCUGAGAAGGCAGGAAAUAAAUUUCACUCAUUCACUUCCCACUUCUCCAGUCCUACUUACAUCAAAGCAAUUCAGCUUUUGUAUGGUAAAUGUACUUAGGAAUCUAUGUGCUGUUCAACUUAAACUACAAGGUUCUGUUAAGUUGGAAAUGAAAUAAAUAGAUACCCUCCCUGCCCUCCAAAAUAGGUUUCUCUGCCAGAAAAAGUUGUUAAAAAACCUCCAAUCUGCCUUAUUGACUGAAAGGCUAAUCUACACGUGCUGAGGACUUGUAACCCCUUGGGACACCUCAUUGUCCUUACGGACUUUUUUUAUCGAUGAGUACUUCAUGUUGGAAGAUUCAAAAGCCAGAGGAGAGCCCCCUGGCCUACAGCAAAGAAUGUCUUCCUAAUUUAGAUGAUGCUUUGAAGGUGAACUCAGCCUCUUUAUCUUCUUUGAACAACAAAUGGAAAUUGAGAUUCCUGCUAUUCCAGCUCAUGGGCCAGUGGUACUAAUUUUCUAGUUGUAAAGAGUGUUCAUUGAUAUCAGACAGAUAAUCUUCAUUGAUAUCAGUCUAUGUCAUUUCAUUUGGAAAAAUUUGAGUAAGUUGAAAUUUAUUCUUCCUAGAUAGCUCAAGGACCCUCUGUAACAAAAGAACAGAGAGCCCCUCAGACAAGGAAGAGAAAGUGGGAUUUGACAUAAAUCUACACAUUUUAAGAAUUAGAAAUAUAUUUGACUUCUAAAGCAUCUUUAAGGUCCAGCUAUUCUUCUAUGGCCAAGUUGGCCAGAAUGAUUUUCUGAGAAAAGAAUACAAGGGAGGGGUAUAGUGGAUAAGCUAUAGAAUGCCUCAAGACAUUGCCAGCAUAGAUUUAUAUGUAAGGAAGCCAAAUGUAUGUAACACUUAAGCAAAAUUUUGUCAAACAGUUUCUUCAUUAUUUUAAUGUCAUUAAAAGCUUGUCUUAGCCUAUAUUUGGUAUAAUUGAAAUAUCCCAUAAUCAUCUCAAUUUGCAACAAUCUUUAUCUUUUAAAACCCUGUGAUAUUUUUAUAACUAGAUACAAUAUAAAAUUAGCUGGCAGAUGAGAGAUUAUGAUUAAGAAGAAAAAAGUGCCAAUACCAAAACUUAUAAAAUGGUUUUACUUAGUGUGAUAAUUUUUAUAAAAGUGAAUAUAAGCU
ensembl:lncRNA